UACGGGGGGAGCAAGCGUUGUUCGGAUUUACUGGGCGUAAAGGGCGCGUAGGCGGUCAGCACAAGUCAGUUGUGAAAUCUCCGGGCUUAACCCGGAAAGGUCAACUGAUACUGUGCGACUAGAGUGCGGAAGGGGCAACUGGAAUUCUCGGUGUAGCGGUGAAAUGCGUAGAUAUCAGGAGGAACACCGGUGGCGAAGGCGGGUCUCUGGGCCGAUACUGACGCUGAGGAGCGAAAGCGUGGGGAGCAAACAGG
rnacentral:rRNA from 1 species